rnacentral:tRNA from 1 species
GAGGAUAUAGCUCAAGUGGUAGAGCACAUGCUUAGCAUGCAUGAGGUCCUGGGUUCAAUUCCCAGUACCUCU